rnacentral:rRNA from 1 species
UAAUACGGAGGAUGCGAGCGUUAUCCGGAUUUAUUGGGUUUAAAGGGUGCGUAGGUGGCUUCAUAAGUCAGCGGUGAAAGUUUGUGGCUCAACCAUAAAAUUGCCGUUGAAACUGUUAAGCUUGAGUAUGUUUGAGGUAGGCGGAAUGCGUGGUGUAGCGGUGAAAUGCAUAGAUAUCACGCAGAACUCCAAUUGCGAAGGCAGCUUACUAAACCAUAACUGACACUGAAGCACGAAAGCGUGGGUAUCAAACAGG